UAAUACAAUAAUAAAUGUAAAUGAUUUAUUAUUAAAAAAUCCUAAUCCUUAUAAAUCUUUUUUUUAUUUGUAUUGAACGUAAAUUCCUCUUUUGCACAUGACUAGAACAUAAAAAAAAAUUCUAAAUCUUUUCCUCUAAGAAAAGCAGCUAGUUCCUUCAAUACUUCAUUUUAUGUUCUACAUAUUCAUACCAAUCAUACUGGUGCAAACCAAAAUAAAACCAGUAAAGGCUAUCUGGUAGUUGAGCAAAAUCUGUAGUUCUUGGUUAAACUAACGCUGGAUCGAGAUAUCGCAUUGGUAAAAUAGAAGUCCGGUGACCCGGUGCACACCGUUGCUGGAAUAAGUUUCAGCUAAAUAUAGGUCGUUAUAAAAUUAGAUUCCUCCGACGGGCUUGACGACUAGUACGUUCUACAAGUCCUGGAUGUAUCGGUUAUGUGCUUCGAUAUGUAGAUUUACAUAGUCUUGUAAUUUAAACUUGGUUAAAUGCAUCAUGGAUAAACCAGUAAACUGUGUGAAAUGGCAUCUGUUCGGAAAUUUACUACAAUAUUUGAAGAAAACUAAAAUAUUUUGAUAUUAUACUGCCAAGGCAAAUUUGGCCUAGAUUCUGGUUAAGUAAACUGAAUGUAAACAACGCACGUUUCGAAAGAUGGUGGUGCUUGAAAGUUACGACUUUGAAAACAAUCGUAGAGAACGUCGAACAAUUCUUGCAAACAGUCGCGAACGAGCGUCAGAUCUAUCCGAGGGAUGACUCGUACGAGAUGGUACGCGUUUACGUGACGUGUAUACUAUUUCUUGAAUGCGUGUCGUAUCUCACCGUAGUGCUCGAAUGUCGAUGUAAACUUUCCUCUGAAAGUAACUACUAUGCGAGAAGAUUAAUUGUUCGCAACUGCUAUACCACUUUACAGUUUCAAGACCAUAACUAGCCACGUAUCCAGCAAACGCGACAUUUAUGGCUCAAAUGAACGACGCAAUAUUCUAAUACGAAUGACGGAUGAUCUCUUGAAAGAAAAUGGUAUUGUAUAUAUGUAUAUUACGAGGAUAGAAAAUAUCAGAGCGGAGAAAAAAUAGAUAUUUUUAUUAAAGUGAUACAGCAUUUUGAAAAUAAAAUGGUGAUUUCAUACAAUUCAUACACAAGCCAUUUGAACAAGCUAUCUUUCAUAAUUCUAAUCAUUUAUCAGUCUGGCAUUACAAAGAAAAUUAAUUCAUUUCCAUUGUUGUCCAUAACUCGAUUGAAAAAUGAUUGCCCCAAUAUCAGUUCGAGUGAAUUCAUAUCGCAGAGUUCAAUCCACGUUGCACAUCCUAGUUGCAGUUGGAUCGUAACGAAACCACGAUGCAAGAUUUAUCGUCGGUCAUUCAUUUUCCCCAUUGGGUUCAGUAAUGUCCGGCAGAAACGUUUCCGGAAUGAAAUGAGAAAUUUCCGCCGCUUCAACGGAAGAUAAGUAUCGAUUAAUAGUAACCAUUGCUACUGGUUAAAACGCAAUUUAUUCAUUUAUUUUUGUUUACUCAUCUAGGAAUGGAAGCAAUAAACAUCAAUGGAAAAAGAAGAAAAUAAUAUACAGUAUCAAUAUUAAUUAUAAUAUUCUUGGAAUAAAUUUCAAUUCUAGAGAGAAACAAUACAAAAGUAUAAAAAAAUAUCGAUUGAGGUUUAUUUCUUAAAUUAUAAACAUUUAAGUGAAUUUAUGUUAUACGAUUAUUUAUAGCAAUAUAGAGGAGAUGGAGAUAUCUGCAUCUAAUGCAAAUUUAAAUUAUUUAUAAUUCAUCAAAUAAAACUCGAUCAAUUAAAAUAUUUUUAUAU